UACGUAGGUGGCAAGCGUUGUCCGGAAUUAUUGGGCGUAAAGCGCGCGCAGGCGGUCCUUUAAGUCUGAUGUGAAAGCCCACGGCUCAACCGUGGAGGGUCAUUGGAAACUGGGGGACUUGAGUGCAGGAGAGAAGAGUGGAAUUCCACGUGUAGCGGUGAAAUGCGUAGAGAUGUGGAGGAACACCAGUGGCGAAGGCGACUCACUGGCCCGUUACUGACGCUGAGGCGCGAAAGCGUGGGGAGCAAACAGG
rnacentral:rRNA from 1 species